UCGUCUUCUACUUCUCUCUUUUCUUUGGUUGUCUUUAUGUGUCCACUCAACCCACCGCCAUCUAUUGGUCGAGACUGUAAAUGACAUCAUAGAGUAUUUACCAUAUUAUAGUAAUGUCAUCAAAGUCCAUAAGAGUGUAAAGACUCUGUGAUGUACAGUCUAUAAUGUAGACUGGUCUGAUAUGGUCUCAAUGAUUGGAAACGCACACAGAAGGUUUACAAAUGCAUUCCAAUGCGGCGCUCCACUUCAAAUACCUCCGGAGCUGGACGGACUGGUGGCUGGUGGUGCAGCGGUUGGUGUACAGGGAGAAGAGCAGAGGGGACAGAACGCUGGUGUUGAAGGCAGAGCUGAAGUCCACAAACAGGAUCCUGCCGUAGGUUCCUGGGGAGUCCAGAUGUAGUGGAGGGCCAUGUUGACCGCAUAGUCUACAGACUACCUAAACCGUAGUACUGUAUGAGUAAUAGUACUGUGAUAAACAGCAGUGUUGUGUGAGUACUAGUAUUCUGAUAAACAGUAAUAGUGAGUAAGUACUAGUACUCGUUAUCAGUGGUGGCCCAGCCAGUGUUAAUUUCGGCGACGAACACUAUGACGAAACUUUUUCGUUAACAAACCUUUUUUUCAUGACUAAGACGAGACUAAAACGUGACGAAAACAAUCUUAAAAAAUAAAAACUAUGACUAAAUCUAUUCUAACUUUCGUUAACGAGACGAACAUGUUCCAUGUCGAAGUGUCCCUGAACAGGACACCUGACCCCUAAUGGUUUAAAGUGUAACGUAGGUCGCUUUGGAUAGAAGCGUCUGCUAAAUGACCUGUAAUGUAAUGUGGGUGACGAAGUCACGAUACUUUUCCCCCUAAAUCCGCACGCAGCCAACUGACAACAAACAGACAAAGUACGGCGGAUAUUAACGCGUCAUGAUGACGUCAUCCACCAACCCUCAUCACAGCGGUGGUUCUUGUGCACCGACUACGGACCGCGGCGACUAUUUUAGCUUCGUUGAGUUUGAACGUGGCUUCGUUAGCUUAGCUCAGCUGCCUGUUAGCUGCCUGUUAGCAGGCUGAAGCCGCGCUGCUUCACAGAAACAUGAAGACGCGUUUAAAGACCGUCGGACCUUUCUGCUCUGUUCUCUGGCGACGGCAGGCAGCGUUUCCUCGCUGGAUGAGACGCUCCGUCACAAACGCGUCUAACGUAAUAAACUCAUUGCAGGUUCUGAAGCCAAGAAACUAAUGUAUUGCAACGAUUGUAGGACGUUAAGGUCUCUUUUGUUGGGUCAGUGGAAACAAUAAAGGAGCAUGACGUGUCAAAAGCAUUGCAAGUAAACAGACAAAGACAACAAAGUGUUGCGUUUAGGUCCCUGGUCCUCAUGAAGUUGUUACACCUUUGACAAUUUGUUAAAUUGACUUGCAAAUAAAUGCUUUGCUAUUUGUUCAAAUCCAAAUCCUUUCAUGUGAUGAUGUUUCACACGUCAUUUAUAUCAGCUCACAAACACUUCAACCAUUUGUUCUUCCUCCGUCACAUUUUACAACCCACUGUGGCCGCGAGUCAAAACGUUUGCCGACCCUAUAGACCUGUCCUAGGAGGGACAUCUAUAAACCUGUCCUAGGAGG
ensembl:lncRNA